UACGAAGGGUGCAAGCGUUAAUCGGAAUUACUGGGCGUAAAGGGUGCGUAGGCGGUUGUUUAAGUCUGUCGUGAAAUCCCCGGGCUCAACCUGGGAAUGGCGAUGGAUACUGGGCAGCUAGAGUGUGUCAGAGGAUGGUGGAAUUCCCGGUGUAGCGGUGAAAUGCGUAGAGAUCGGGAGGAACAUCAGUGGCGAAGGCGGCCAUCUGGGACAACACUGACGCUGAAGUACGAAAGCGUGGGGAGCAAACAGG
rnacentral:rRNA from 1 species